CGCGAAACCUCUGCAAUAGGCGAAAGCCUGACAGGGUUACUCUGAGUGAUUUCCGCUAAGGGGAUCUUUUGGCACCUCUAAAAAUGGUGCAGAAUAAGGGGUGGGCAAG
rnacentral:rRNA from 1 species